AAACGUGAUAGGAAGCACAUAGAACAUGUAAAUCUUGCAAUUGUUAAAAAAAAACCACAAUCUAGUCAAAUCAAAGACACACGGGAUAUGUAGAUACAUGGCCCCAUCCUCUCUCUAAAAAAAUCACCAUCACUGCCCUGGGAACAGUAUAACUGACAUAUAUGUUCCUGCACUGCCAGAGGAGAAAUUCUGCAGGAAUGAAAAUUAUGCCCAUCAUUUUAGCAUCAAAAAUCAAAAAAAAUGUUUUCUUUCUAUACAUUAUAUACAUUGUAUCCUGUGGA
rnacentral:lncRNA from 1 species